GAUGAACGCUGGCGGCGUGCCUAAUACAUGCAAGUCGAGCGAACAGAUAAGGAGCUUGCUCCUUUGACGUUAGCGGCGGACGGGUGAGUAACACGUGGAUAACCUACCUAUAAGACUGGGAUAACUUCGGGAAACCGGAGCUAAUACCGGAUAACAUAUUGAACCGCAUGGUUCAAUAGUGAAAGGCGGCUUUGCUGUCUCUUAUAGAUGGAUCCGCGCCGUAUUAGCUAGUUGGUAAGGUAACGGCUUACCAAGGCAACGAUACGUAGCCGACAUGAGAGGGUGAUCGGCCACAAUGGAACUGAGACACGGUCCAGACGCCUACGGGAGGAAGCAGUAGGGAAGCUACCGCAAUGGGCGAAAGCCUGACGGAGCAACGCCGCGUGAGUGAUGAAGGUCUUCGGAUCGUAAAACUCUGUUAUCAGGGAAGAACAAAUGUGUAAGUAACUGUGCACAUCUUGACGGUAGCUGAUCAGAAAGCCACGGCUAACUACGUGCAAGCCGCCGCAGUAAAAC
rnacentral:rRNA from 1 species